UGGGGAAUAUUGCACAAUGGGCGAAAGCCUGAUGCAGCAACGCCGCGUGAGUGAUGAAGGUCUUCGGAUUGUAAAGCUCUGUCUUUUGGGACGAUAAUGACGGUACCAAAGGAGGAAGCCACGGCUAACUACGUGCCAGCAGCCGCGGUAAUACGUAGGUGGCGAGCGUUGUCCGGAUUUACUGGGCGUAAAGGGUGCGUAGGCGGAUGUUUAAGUGAGAUGUGAAAUACCCGGGCUUAACUUGGGUGCUGCAUUUCAAACUGGAUAUCUAGAGUGCAGGAGAGGAGAAUGGAAUUCCUAGUGUAGCGGUGAAAUGCGUAGAGAUUAGGAAGAACACCAGUGGCGAAGGCGAUUCUCUGGACUGUAACUGACGCUGAGGCACGAAAGCGUGGGUAGCAAACAGGAUUAGAUACCC
rnacentral:rRNA from 1 species